GUAAAUGCACCCUUUGUUCGCAAGAGGCAAAAAAACAGAUUUUCAAGUAGUACACCACAGCUAGCUACGUGUGGACUCGCCCUGGAGGCAUGACUUUGUGGUGCUAUGUAGCACUUUGUGUUGUAUCGACUUGUAGAUUAUCUCUGUUUGUUGCACAAUCCCUUUGCAAACAAGUUAUGUUGGCUAGAGCCUAGAGGAUCAUGGAGUUUGCAAUAAUGCGAGAAAAUCUCUCUCCUCUUCCCCUUCCCC
rnacentral:misc_RNA from 1 species